CAGGCAACAUACCUGCUGUAUUAGUCACGGUGCCUAGAUUAUCCCUUUAACAGCUAAUUAAUAUUGUCUACUGUAUUCACAAGCUGAGAUGUACGUUUGUUUCUAAUUCCAAGAAAGUAAUGUGAGCAGGGGCAUAUUGCCAUUGCACAGGUUUCGAAACGACUGUUUUGGUUUUAUUUUUUUUCUUGUUAUAAGCUACAGCAAAUCUUUAAUAUUUCUGUUGAAUAACAGUUUAAAACAAUUUCAAAUGGAUGUUAAAAUAAGAAAUUGAGAGGUUAGAAUUGUGUAAACCCUGUCAAGUUCCUAAUUCUAACUGAACUUCGGAAGUUUAAGUAAAGUGCAUAUGCCCUUAGUAUCUUAUCCUUUAAAGUAACUCUACCAGUCUCUGUAGUGGCUGUGGUGGCAGGAGUGCUCUGGGUGCAGUCUGGUUCUGCUGGAGAAGACUGGCCCUAGUGUAGAUGACACAGCAGGACCCCGGUAAAUUGUGCUAAAAUGAUUUGACAUCUUAUGAGAGAUGGCACUAUUAGUUAA